AGGAAGAGGAUUGCUGUGGCACUGCGAUGGAAGGAUCCCUUGUGCCGGGCUCUGGCCAUGGCUCUGCGAAGGGGCUGGGGGUGCUGAUCCCCUCUGCUGCCGUAACUCCCACAGCCAACACACUCAGAUCACGUCGUAUCUGGGCUUCGGCAUCAUGUUGAGUCAGAGAUGACAGCAGCAGAUCCACUUCAUGAGUCAUCUGCUUAAUCCCUUUCCAGACAGAGGGCUCUUCCUUUUGUUAUUAGUCAGUGUGUCAAUGUGCUGCCUCGCUGUUAGAUGUGCUGGUUGUUGUUUCCUUGCUGCCUCAAUGAGGUCAUUUUUUUUCUGUGCUUUUGACUCCGUGGCAGUGGCAUUUCCAGCCAUGGUGAGGAUUUCUACCUCUGUCGGUUAGCUGGGUUCAUGCCGUGCUCCAGCAGACCGCCUCCCCUCCUGGAGGGAGAGCGGGCAAGGAGGUCUCCCACGAAAGAGCUGAUCGAAUGCAUUGGGAAUGGCCAUGUGAACAGCAAACUCUGCUCCUCAAAGCCUUGGAAAUGAAGCCCACCAGAAACCAGGCUCAGCUUUGGCCAGGAAGAUUUCAAAGUGAAUCCUGAAUGCCACUGGAAGAUGUAUAUGUGUCCGACAGCAUCCCUUGCUUCCCUGCUAUUCUGAAGCACUAUCUAGCAGGAAGAAUACCCGCUCACCUCUGCUGGCUCUCAGUGGUCCCACAAGGAGGGCUGCCCGCUCUCUGCUGCAGCAGAGGCUCCAACAAGCGGCUGUCUUGCAGCUUGCAGCACCCACUGCAGCUCCGAGGAGGCCCCAGGCAGCAGCAGUGGGGCAGCAGUGCAGCCGCUCCCGUCCCAAUGGGCGCAGGAUUUCCAUCAGCGCUCUGAUGUCUGGAUGGAAACUGGGACUGCAGCUCAUGCAUAUACAGACGGAGCUGCUGGACCAGUAAUUCUUCUGUCUCUUUUUCUACUUCUAAGACAUAGCUCUGAAUUGAAUCCCUGAAAAUGGAAGGUCCGGGCCUCAGAAGCAGGGUGACGAUUUGGAGGAUGCGUGGCUCUCCCCUCACUGCAGAGGAGGGAGGGGUUCUGUCCUUUGGGGGGACAUUCCAGUUUGGGGUAAUGCAGUGGAAACACCAUGUGUGUCCUUUUUCAUUCAAAUUACACACAAAAAAAUUGUGAUACGAGUCAUGAGCAAAGGCAGAACAGAGCCUACAGUCUUUAAUCUUUAAAAUCUAUUUUACAUGAUUAAAAGGAUCCUGCCUGGAGAAAAGCAAGACUGGCUAUUUAUAUCUCCAUUCUUCUCCCCCCUCUCUUUUUUCCUCAGAAAAUACUGUGCAGUCUUUCACAUCUGAAAGACCACGGCUGGCUGCCAUUAAUUUUAAUGCUAAAUCCUCAUCAGCAUUUCAAAACAUUAUGAAAAUGUCGAAGAAACUGUCUUCUAGUAGCAUGAAAAUAUGGCAGGCAGCAACCUAAAUAAUACUGUAAGUGCCCUGGUAAGUACAAGAGCACAUG
ensembl:lncRNA